rnacentral:rRNA from 1 species
CCUACGGGAGGCACCAGUGAGGAAUAUUGGUCAAUGGACGAGAGUCUGAACCAGCCAAGUAGCGUGAAGGAUGACUGCCCUAUGGGUUGUAAACUUCUUUUAUAUGGGAAUAAAAUGUUCCACGUGUGGGAUUUUGUAUGUACCAUAUGAAUAAGGAUCGGCUAACUCCGUGCCAGCAGCCGCGGUAAUACGGAGGAUCCGAGCGUUAUCCGGAUUUAUUGGGUUUAAAGGGAGCGUAGGUGGAUUGUUAAGUCAGUUGUGAAAGUUUGCGGCUCAACCGUAAAAUUGCAGUUGAAACUGGCAGUCUUGAGUACAGUAGAGGUGGGCGGAAUUCGUGGUGUAGCGGUGAAAUGCUUAGAUAUCACGAAGAACUCCGAUUGCGAAGGCAGUUCACUGGACUGCAACUGACACUGAGGCUCGAAAGUGUGGGUAUCAAACAGGAUUAGAUACCCGAGUAGUC